rnacentral:rRNA from 1 species
GACGAACGCUGGCGGCGUGCUUAACACAUGCAAGUCGAACGGAGUGGCGAACGGGUGAGUAACGCGUAAUCAACCUGCCCUUCAGAGGGGGACAACAGUUGGCAAUGACUGCUAAUACCGCAUACUGAAGGUGGGGAUUGGGUCGGAUUAGCGGGUCGGGGGGGUCACGGCACACCAAGGCGAGGAUCAGUAGCCGGUCUGGGAGGAUGGACCGCCACAUUGGGAAUGGGACACGGCCCAAGAUCCUACGGGAGGCAGCAGGGGGGAAUCUUCCGAAAUGGACGAAAGUCUGACGGAGCAACGCCGCGUGGGUGAUGACGGCCGUCGGGUUGUAAAGCUCUGUUAAUCGGGACGCGGUACCGGAAGAGAAAGCCACGGCUAACUACGUGCCAGCAGCCGCGGUAAUUC